rnacentral:tRNA from 1 species
GCGCCAGUAGCUCAAUUGGCAGAGCAGUUGACUCUUAAUCAAUUGGUUGGGGGUUCGAUUCCUCCCUGGCGCA